ensembl:lncRNA
CGUGCUGUGGUUGUCACAACACACACACACACACACACACACCUAUGUAGGAGGACGGAAUCACAGGUUUUGUGUGCACUUUUUUUCGUCACCAUUAUCCACUAUGAGUGUUUUCAAAGGCACACGCUGUUCUCUGGCUGCCUUUUUCAAACCACAAAGUUCACACACGGCCAUAAAAGUGCAGCCAUAAAAAGGAGGGCUGCACACACACACACACACACACACACUCCAGACCUGUUUUUGUGUCUCCCUCUCAGCGAAGGUGUUUUUUUUCUGUGUGUUUUUGUCUCAAGUGCCAGAAAUUUGGUCGCCCUGCGGUUUCUCUGAGCAAUCUUCAUCCUGAUCCGGUUUUGUAGUGAGUGAUGGAGAGAGCUGUGCGCCUUCAACACCCUCAGAGUCAGAGCAGGAGGGAAGGACUGAGGAAAACCCAAAUGCCAAACAGCCUCUGCUUUGGUAAAGGGGCAGUAGCAGGGUUGCCAGUUUGGAUCCUACCUGCUAAAAUCUGGGCAGCAGAAGUGACUGGGACAUAUGGUGCAACGUGGCCGAAUGUGUCAAGCAUGACACUCACAUUGCCAAGGCUAAAGAUGGAGGCAUACGUCCCGGGGAAAUGAGUGUUGGCAUGUUUCUGCUGACGAUAACAAACAUGUUAGUGGAACCCAGUGAGGGAGCUCAGGUAUGCUGGAGGAUGAACACAUCACAUGUAUGUCUCCUCUUAUGGUGAAUGUCAUCUAAAUGGUAUCACUGUUUUGUUUCCUCUGCUCCAGACAAAUCCAUUAUUCACAGAACACCAUCGUAUCACACUCCCCCUGCGCCGAUGGACAGGCCUCAUCCAGAUGAACUGUCUUCAUGCAGAGCUGAUUUCAUUCUGCAGCUUCACGGUCACAGCGUGGACUCACCUCUGAAAACACACAGGCACAUAUGCAAACGACCCAAGUGUCUGGUUGUAUUUUGUGUGCUCAUAAAAAGAAGUUUAACUGGAAGGCUGCCCCACUUCUCACCAGAUGUUGGCUGAGAUGCAUAAUGUGAUAGUUUGUUGACCUGAAGAGGAGGAAGAAGAAGAAGAAGAAGUGAUUAAACAUUUCCGUCUGAGUGGAAUCUGAGAAAUGUUCUUUCAGAGUGACGCUGCUGUCGGUGUGAUGGUACAGGCCGGGCUGUGGUUGUAGUGGGCAGCAGGGGUGGAGGGUGGAGGGUGGAGCUGAUGAUCAAACAGGCUCCUCACUUCAACCUGGAUUUAUUUAAGAAAGCAUGAUGGAGGUUUGACUCUGAAGCUGCUGCCUUCACAGAGGAAAGAAGCCUCUGACUCCAAACCUUUAUGGACAGUUUGGCCUCCAAGAUGAGUUUAAAUGCAUCCAUGUGUGUGUGUGUGUGUGCGCGCUUUGUGUUUAUUUGUGUAUGACCGUCUGGUUUAACUCCCACUUUCAGCAGCUGCGGCAAAAGCAGCCAGACCUUCCACUGCCAAGUCCCCCUCUCUUCCUACUCCUACUCUGCUUCUGUCUGUCUGACUGUGUGUGUGUCUGUCUGUGUGUGUGUCUGUGUGUGUCUGUCUGUGUGUGUGUCUGUCUGCGCCUUUCUUUCCCUCAUCUCUCUCCUACACACACACACACACACACACGCAGGCACGUGAUGCACACACCUCAGGCUUCAUAUUCAUAGCCUCCUCCUCCUCCUCCUCUACUUGACAUGGGAGCCUUAACAGAUGUGGCCCAGCCUUGAGCUUCCUCUCCCCCUCUCUCUCUCUCUCUCCCCCAUCUCUCCCCCAUCUCUCUCUCUCUCUCUCUCUCUCUCAGAUUUACCUUAUCUUUAGGAUUGGAACAAAAAGCUAAACUGACAUUUAAUCAUUUACAUAUAUCCACACAAACUGUGGAGACGGUCGAUAUGAAACCUCUGGCUGGAUUCAGGCAGCUGUGGGGAGACGGCGGGCUGCUGUUAAUGAGAUGAAACUUCAAAACCUUCAUUUAAAUAAUACAAAUAAAAAAGAUGCAUUUAUUAUUCA